rnacentral:rRNA from 1 species
UACGAAGGGGGCUAGCGUUGCUCGGAAUCACUGGGCGUAAAGCGCACGUAGGCGGAUUGCUAAGUCAGGGGUGAAAUCCUGGAGCUCAACUCCAGAACUGCCUUUGAUACUGGCGAUCUUGAGUCCGGGAGAGGUGAGUGGAACUGCGAGUGUAGAGGUGAAAUUCGUAGAUAUUCGCAAGAACACCAGUGGCGGAGGCGGCUCACUGGCCCGGUACUGACGCUGAGGCGCGAAAGCGUGGGGAGCAAACAGG